UACGGAGGGUGCAAACGUUGCUCGGAAUCAUUGGGCGUAAAGCGCACGUAGGCGGUUCGGUAUGUCGGAUGUGAAAUCCCUCGGCUCAACCGAGGAAGGGCAUCCGAAACUGCCGAGCUUGAGUACGGAAGAGGGUCUCGGAAUUCCCGGUGUAGAGGUGAAAUUCGUAGAUAUCGGGAGGAACACCAGUGGCGAAGGCGGAGACCUGGGCCGAUACUGACGCUGAGGUGCGAAAGCGUGGGGAGCAAACAGG
rnacentral:rRNA from 1 species